UGGGCAGCAAGUGUAAAUGAAACUACAGCAGCUCAGUGCUGUGGGAUUUUAGAGCACGUUUGUCACUGACCAGGCUUUUUGAGAUCGUUAUCAUUUCUCUGAAGAGAAUACUCUUUGGUGGAACAUUUCUUGCAAUGGAAUAUAUUUACCAUGCAAGUAUAACAAGGUGGUAUAAGUUCCACCAGGAGCUUUCUGUCUGCCAAAGAGGGUUAAUUACUACUUUGUGAAACUUGGUACUGAGUCUCGGAGUUCUAGUAAUAUGAACCAAGGUAAUGAUCUUUUGUGUUUACAACUAAUCACUAAAUUUUCUUUCCAUUCCUGAGACCCCAGGCAAAUAAAACACUGAUCCAACAGUACA
rnacentral:lncRNA from 1 species